rnacentral:lncRNA from 1 species
GAUUCACCGACAGACUCCCUGUGGGCCUGUUGUGUGUUUUCCUUCCGUGCGCAGAGUAGUUUAAGUGCUGCCCUUCAGUGGAAGCUACUUUAUGUUGAGUUUAAAAUAUCAGAGCGAAACAGAAAACAACCAUCGUCCAUCAACUACAUGUGCAGAGAACGGACUUGCGUUCUUGUGGAGACCGGUCUUGCUGGGUGUCCUCGGAAGAACGAACUCUGGAGAUCAAGAGAACAGAUAACGCGUCCUGUGAGAAAUGAGAUGCUGCAUUCUUCCUGAUGGUCACGUGACCUUCACACGUUUUUAAUGAUGUCCAUGGUGAUGUUUAUAUUCACCAUCUCAUUUAGGGGAACUCCUGAGGUAAAUAAGUGAUAUCUCUGAACUUUAAUAAUAAAUCUAAAUAAAAAGCUGCGCUUCCCACCUCCAAGCGCAAUGACUUCUGGGACUUCUAGAGCGAGUUCGGUGCUCAAGUCUGCAUCGUUGCGUCCUCAAUAUCAAAAUCACAUCCGGGAAGUUUCACGCGUCCUCUGUUCUUGCGGUCUUGAGUAUUGGAACUGAACUUUAACAGCUGAUGAUGAAGCUGAUGAAGAAUGCAUAUUGAGAAACAGCCAUUACGCUUUAUGAGUGAAUAACUCAACUAUAUAUUGAAAAUGAGACUAAAAAUAAAUAUGGGCUGUACGAAUUAUAAUAUUAGAUUUAUAUAUUUAACAUAGUAACAGCAAAUUUUUCAUAGUACUGAAUAUUUUACUAUUUAUUUUUGCUCAGCUGAUUAUUUCUUUAUUUUAUAAUAAAAUAUUUAGUUUAUAAUAAAAACAUUUAUUAAAUUAUAGGUUCUAAGUUCUGUUUCUUAAAACAAAAAGUGUCUUGCAGUUUUGUU